CCUACGGGGGGCUGCAGUGGGGAAUAUUGGGCAAUGGGCGAAAGCCUGACCCAGCAACGCCGCGUGAAGGAAGAAGGUUUUCGGAUCGUAAACUUCUAUCCUUGGUGAAAAUAAUGAUGGUAGCCAAGAAGGAAGCCCCGGCUAACUACGUGCCAGCAGCCGCGGUAAUACGUAGGGGGCAAGCGUUGUCCGGAAUGAUUGGGCGUAAAGGGCGCGUAGGCGGCCUGGUAAGUCUGGAGUGAAAGUCCUGCUUUUAAGGUGGGAAUUGCUUUGGAUACUGUCGGGCUUGAGUGCAGGAGAGGUAAGUGGAAUUCCCGGUGUAGCGGUGAAAUGCGUAGAGAUCGGGAGGAACACCAGUGGCGAAGGCGACUUACUGGACUGUAACUGACGCUGAGGCGCGAAAGUGUGGGGAGCAAACAGGAUUAGAUACCCCAGUAGUC
rnacentral:rRNA from 1 species